UCACAGAGCUCCAGUGCCCCCUAAAACCCAAGAGUGUGACAGCUCAGCCACAGUUACAGCUGCAGCCAGCACUCAAUAUCUGCAAGGUAAUUCAAGAUAGCUGGACCUCUCCAGUAAGAGCUAAUCCCAGGUUUGGAGCCGUGGUUUGGAAGAAAGGAGGCAAGACAAGAAGUCAGAACUGGGAGCUUCUUUUCAGUCUGACAGCUGUGAUUUAGUGUCACUGCUAGCAAUAAAAGAUGAGCAGCUC